rnacentral:tRNA from 1 species
GGCCUAUUAGCUCAGUUGGUUAGAGCAUCGUGCUAAUAACGCGAAGGUCACAGGUUCUAGACCUGUAUGGGCUA